UAGUCUUCUCUCUUUCUUAAGCAGUGAUAAACCUUUUAAUGAGAACAAAAAGGAAAUAAAUUGCUAACUCUGAAGGAACCAGUAAGAAAUACACUGAAGUAUGGUCUGUUGUUUUAGAAUAAUUUGUUAAAUGGACCAGAGUAAUAUAGUGGAACAUGCAUCACCUUAUACCAUAUAGUAACUGAUUCUUCUAAGUUUACUUGAACAGAUUUCAGUCAGGAAAAAACAUUGCUCAAUUGUGUUCUUCAAUUUAUUCAACAAACAAUUGAAAAUAAUAUUUUAAAGGACAUAAUCUCUUCAUAUCACAUCUUAACAAUUCUUGAAUGAGAUCCAGUUUGUCCAUGCCUUGAACAUUUAAACUUACAAUAGAAUUCACUGAAGAAUAUCCAAAUAAACCACCUACAGUUAGAUUUGUCUCUAAGAUGUUCCAUCCAAAUGUCUAUGCAGAUGGUAGUAUAUGUCUGGACAUACUUCAGAACCGUUGGAGUCCAACCUAUGAUGUGUCUUCCAUUCUAACAUCCAUACAGUCUCUGUUGGAUGAACCCAAUCCCAAUAGUCCAGCAAACAGCCAGGCUGCUCAGCUGUACCAGGAGAACAAACGGGAAUAUGAAAAGCGUGUUUCUGCAAUAGUAGAACAAAGCUGGCGUGAUUGUUGACCCCGGGUACAGUUUAAAGAAGCUGGCCAUAAGAAAAAUAUAUAUUGAUGUGUUUGUCACCUCCCUACUCCUGUCAUUACAUUUACUUUAUUAAAAGCAAAAUAACUGUUGUGCUGUUUCCAUCUUCCUUGCCAAGUUUUCCUACCCCUUCUACCCUCUCCU
rnacentral:lncRNA from 1 species